AACGCACAUUGCGCCCCUUGGUAUUCCGAGGGGCAUGCCUGUUCGAGCGUCAUUAUAACCACUCAAGCCUAGCUUGGUAUUGGGGUUCGCGUGCUCGCGGCCCUUAAAAUCAGUGGCGGUGCCGUCUGGCUCUAAGCGUAGUAAUUCUCUCGCUAUAGCGUCCCGGCGGUUACCUGCCAGAACCCCCCACUUUUAAGGUUGACCUCGGAUCAGGUAGGGAUACCCGCUGAACUUAA
rnacentral:misc_RNA from 1 species